rnacentral:rRNA from 1 species
CCGGGGACUCAUGGGAGACUGCCGGGGUCAACUCGGAGGAAGGUGGGAUGACGUCAAAUCAUCAUGCCCCUUAUGUCUUGGGCUUCACGCAUGCUACAAUGGCCGGUACAAAGGGCUGCGAUACCGCGAGGUGGAGCGAAUCCCAGAAAGCCGGUCUCAGUUCGGAUUGGGGUCUGCAACUCGACCCCAUGAAGUCGGAGUCGCUAGUAAUCGCAGAUCAGCAACGCUGCGGUGAACUACGUUCCCGGGCCGUU